GACUAUGCAAACUAGAGUGAUAAUGACAGUUAGGAUAGCUUUUGAGUGACAACAAACUGAAUAAAUAGGGUUUGUCUUUGGAUUUUGACAUGUACGAAACAUUAACUAUUAGACAUGAUGGACAUCAUAAAAAAAUAAAAUUACGACACUUGAAAUUAUAACGUAAUUUCUGAUUAGAAUCAUCGAUUAAUCUACGGGGAAAAAUAUAUUAUUAUAAA
rnacentral:lncRNA from 1 species